AACGCGAAGAACCUUACCCAGACUUGACAUCGAUCGCAAGCCUUAGAAAUAGGGCCCUCCCUUACAAGGGACGUGAAGACACUUGUUGCAUGGCUGUCGUCAGCUCGUGCCGUGAGGUGUACGGUUAAGUCCGCCAACGAGCGCAACCCUCGUCCUGUGUUACCAGCGAGAAAGUCGGGGACUCACAGGAGACCGCCGGUGUAAGCCGGAGGAAGGUGGGGAUGACGUCAAGUCAGCAUGGCAGUUACGUCUGGGGCUUCACACAUGCUACAAUGGGCGAACCAAAGGGCAGCAAUACCGCGAGGUGGAGCAAAUCCCAAAAAUACGCCCCCAGUUCAGAUUGCAGUCUGCAACUCGACUGCAUGAAGGUGGAAUCGCUAGUAAACGCAGGUCAGCUAUACUGCGUUGAAUACGUUCCCGGGCCUUGUACACACCGCGCAUA
rnacentral:rRNA from 1 species